rnacentral:rRNA from 1 species
UAGCAAUACCAACCGGCGAACGGGUGCGUAACACGUGAGCGACCUGCCGAUCAGAGGGGGAUAGCCGGCCCAACGGCCGGGUAAUACCGCAUACGCUAGCGGAACCGCAUGGUUCUGUUAGGAAAACUCAGGUGCUGAUCGAGGGGCUCGCGGCCUAUCAGCUAGUUGGCGGGGUAACGGCCCACCAAGGCAACGACGGGUAGCUGGUCUGAGAGGAUGGCCAGCCACAUUGGGACUGAGAUACGGCCCAGACUCCUACGGGAGGCAGCAGUGGGGAAUAUUGCGCAAUGGCCGAAAGGCUGACGCAGCGACGCCGCGUGUAGGAUGAAGCUCUUCGGG